rnacentral:lncRNA from 1 species
UAUAAACACCACCAACAGAAUGAACUUGGAAGCAGAUUUUCCCCCAGAGCAUCCAGAUAAGAACUCAGUCCACUCAACAUCUUCAGCUUUGUGAUAUUCCAGGCAUAUUGUGCUGAACUUCUGACUUACAGAACGAAUCCAGAAAGCCUGGAAGAUACUUUUCCAAGAAUUUAUUUUCUGUUUAGAUUCUACCCCUGAAAGUCAGUCCUGAAAGGAUUAUAAAAGCAAGAAAGAAACAUGGACUCUAAGAAUUAACAACAGUGUGGGAAGCCACGGAGGAGAUUUAUGACUACCCUAAAUUGGUUUGUGUUUGGAUGGAUGACUAUUUCCUGCUCUUUAUUACUAGAAAUUGGCAGCAACAUCUCAGAUUGGAUAAUGGUACUGGUGGAAUAAUUACCAGAAAGAAAAAAACAUCCCCACUAAAGUGAUGAAAACAUGUACAGAUUGUCCAACCUUUUGCUUUUGUACCACUUCCCCUUCCAGAUGUCAGGGUUGUGAUUUAUUUCUCCCUAAGAGUUUAAAAAUAAAACUCUCAUCAUAAAAUUUGCCUGAUACUGAUGAAAAAUAAGAUGUAGUAAUUUAGGCUUUCAGACUAGACUCAGAAAUAGAAUCCAUUAAUAUUUUUGGUAUCUCUCCACCCUCUGACCCCUGGGUCACUAACCAACAGCCGAGAGAAGAUGAUC